UCGGCUCUGAAGAUUGUCUUUUGAUUUUCCAUCGACAUUUAAAAUUGUCCCAAUUAUGUUCUCGCAGACAUUCUUCUCAAUAUGCAUGACAUCAAGAUUGUGGCGUAAAAUGUUGUGCUCCCAAUAAGGCAACUCAAAAAAAAUACUCCUUUUCUUCCACAACUCCGCCUCAUUAGGAUCAUCCUCUUCGUCAGAUUCAUCAUCAGAUUCAUCCCUCGAUCUUCUCCUUGUUUGC
rnacentral:lncRNA from 1 species